AACGAACGCUGGCGGCAUGCCUAACACAUGCAAGUCGAACGAGACCUUCGGGUCUAGUGGCGCACGGGGGCGUAACGCGGGGGAACCUGCCCGUAGGUUCGGAAUAACUCCCCGAAAGGGGUGCUAAUACCGGAUAAUGUCUUCGGACCAAAGAGUUAUCGCCUUUGGAUGGGCCCGCGUUGGAUUAGCUAGUUGGUAGGGUAAAAGCCUACCAAGGCGACGAUCCAUAGCUGGUCUGAGAGGAUGAUCAGCCACACUGGGACUGAGACACGGCCCAGACUCCUACGGGAGGCAGCAGUGGGGAAUAUUGGACGCUGGGCGAAAGCCUGAUCCCGCCAUGCCGGGUGAGUGAUGAAGGCCUUAGGGUUGUAAAGCUCUUUUACCCGGGAUGAUAAUGACAGUACCGGGAGAAUAAGCACCGGCUAACUCCGUG
rnacentral:rRNA from 1 species